GAGCCACCAUUGGCCCAACAAGAAAAUUUCCACAAAAAUGGUUUCCACUUUUGUGGCCCGUACAAGUGGCAUGUCUCGUAGUAUUUCUGAGAUGUUGGGCUUGGGCUGUUUUCCGUUGGACCGUUUCCCACCCACAUCUCGAAAAGGUCCAUUAGAAUGUCCCACAUCGCUUGGGAUUAAGAUCUUUGGGCAUUAUAGAAAGGAUGUGGCAAUCCUUAACUCUUGAGCUAGCUUUUGGGUUAAGUUAUGCCACAUUCCUAAUAUGGUAUUAAAGCAUAAGUUAAGAAAUGUCAACAUGGUAUCGGAGCCAAACAGUUCAUCGACUUUUUUUUAUUCUCUCUAGCUUCUAGCCUCCGCUCAUACCGCAAUAUUGAAACGAUGAGCUUUGUGCCUUCUCUGAAAAAGCGAUGGUGAGCGUGAGGUUUCACAUCUUAGGAGUCAGAUUUUCAGAGACAAGGGAAUCAACUUGGAAAAUCUUCAAAGAGCUCGAGACAUAACCAAACUAUGGUAUUCAAGGUACCGUUUCUCUCUAUUCUAUAUGGGA